GAUAUUAUAUGGUCAAAGGGUUAACAUUACAAAACAAUGACAGAUGAUAGCUGUCAGUGCUGUCAGUGUCAGGCCAAAAAUUCACACGUUCAACUGAGCUUGCAGAGUAAAUUCUUGAACGUCUGCAUACAACUAUCAUUGCAAUGUGAUUUUUAUAAAAAACUCCUAAAUGCAAAAAUAAGACAACAUUUAAACAGUUGACAACAAACCAUAUAGUCCGGGACAUUUCUAUAUGAGAUACGUCAUAGCGCAUACCUUGACGCGAGACUAUAUAGAGCACAAAAACUAGAUAAGAGCUCAAAUUUAGGGAACUUGGUUGUUUGAUGUGUUUGACAAAUGACAAAUGUAAACAAUAAUAAAAAUUUAAAUAUUUCUUUAUUGUAGUAAAAUACAGCAAAAUGUACCAACUAGAACACUUACAAACAAAUGGAGAAACUUUCAAAUGCUUUGAAGUACCGUUGCUGGAUUACUGUUGAGGUUAUGUUUGACCUUGGUAUGACUGUCAGGUUUAAAGUUGAAAUUUGCAUUAAAAAGGCCAUAAAAGCCUCGAAGUGCCUUUUAGGUUGGUCAUCGUCAUGUUCCAAUUGCAUGCCCCCUCUCUGCCACAUCAGUAAAAUUUGCCACAAAAGUUUUAAAAAACGACUUUAAAAACAAAAAGGCCCUAUUUUCAUUAACAAUGAGUCAUAUCUCGCUGCAUGCGGCACGACAUAGGCCUCAUAGACCAAUCUCAUUGUGAAUGGUUUUCGCUGAGAUCACUUUGAGAGGGUUUCACUGAGACCGACGUUGACGGAAGGCUGAAACCUGCCUCGCGACAAGUCUGCACCAACAUUCGAAAACGCUGUCAAUGGCUUAAAAUGAUAAACUGUGUCAGUUUUUUUGUGUCUUUUGGGAUUAGUCUUUGAGUACUGUCGCGCCGCAUGUAGUGAAGCAGAUCUCAUUGAGAAUGGGUUCUUUAAGAAACAGUUUCAAUGUACACCACAAGACAUACACUGAGACGGCCUCAUGCCUCAUAUCAUGGCUUGUAAUUGACAGCGUUUUAUAGAAUGAUUUGGAAUCAUAAUGCAGAGAUUGUUGCGAGACAGGCAGGCAGGUCUCAAGCCUACUGCAGAAGUCGCUCUCAUGAGAUUGGUGUCCGAGACCUAUAUCAUGCAGGAAGCCAAACUUCAUCGUGAAUGGACCAUUUUCAAUGGGGGUGUGCUUUUUGAAUAAAUUUGAAAUGGCCUUUUUGAAAAAAGCAGUUGUCUCUCUUUUAUUCAUCUAUUCAACACGUUUGUAUUCGAUGCACUUACACCAAUUUCAUUAUCACUGUCUUGAUUAUCAGGCAAGGGCAAAGUGGAAUUGGGGCCAACCCAGAAAUAAAAACACUUUAAUUUCCUUUAUUAGUAGGCUAUAUUUUUUAUACAAGACGACUACUCUCAGAUAGAGACGUACAAAAAUGUAAACAAGAGUAAAAGUUGGUUUUCCGCAAUAUUCCACACUAUUCUUUCACACGUCCACAGUAAAAUCAGAAAACGCUUCUUGUUAUAAAGCCCUAAUUAUGUUUUUCGACGAUGACUGAGACUUUGUGACGUAUUUGUUAAACGUAAGUUUUCAAAUACCCCAUGCCAGUGCAAAGGAGUUAUAUUAACAAUUUUAUGGGAUUAUUUUUAACCUUACACCCAUUCUGCUUGAAACAAGAGUGGCUACCAGGAAAUAACAACGAAAAAAGCGGACCCAAAAGGCUUCAGCUGCAAAUUAUAAACACUAUCUGUGAUUUUUGAAAUAAAUUUUUUAAUAAUUAAUAAAAAACAUGACAAUA